rnacentral:rRNA from 1 species
CCUACGGGUGGCAGCAGUGGGGAAUAUUGGUCAAUGGUCGGGAGCCUGAACCAGCCAAGCCGCGUGAGGGAUGAAGGUACAGCGUAUCGUAAACCUCUUUUGUGUGGGAACAAAGGCGGGGGCGCGUACCCGGAUGAGAGUACCUGACGAACAAGCAUCGGCAAACUCCGUGCCAGCAGACGCGGUAAUACGGAGGAUGCGAGCUUGGGCGGGAUGUAUUGGGGUUAAGGGGUGGGAGGCCGGUCUGUAAAGUCAGCGGUAAACGCCCGGGGUCCAACCCCGGCCCGCAGUUGAAACUGGCAGUCUCGAGUUGGAGAGAAGGAUGCGGAAUGCGCGGUGUAGCAGUGAAAUGCAUAGAUAUCACGCAGAACUCCGAUUGCGAAGGCGGCAUACCGGCGCACGACUGACGCUGAAGCACGAAAGCGUGGGGAGCGAACAGGAUUAGAUACCCUGGUAGUC